AGAAGGAGCUGAGUGAUGACUAUAAAGAAAGGAAGUUCGGAUGACAGAACAAAACUCUGCAGUUGUUCUUCAGAGCUGGAGAUAUUAUGGGAGAACAUAGAGGAAGUCCAUGGGGAUGGAGCAGUUUGCUGUGUGACAAACUAAGUUACAGUGAAUGGAGGUUUUGGCCAUCCACAGAUGAAAAUGGAUGAGCAGAAAAGGUGCAAAGUGAUACAGCCGCACCUGCUGCGAGUGCAGGGCUCACUACCCCACCCAGAACAUCCAGGCACUCAACAGGCUGACCCGAAAUCAGGAGGAAUACCAGCGGCAGCACCUGGGG